CUGCGGAGGWAUUAUCGUACAUCGGGGGUGCGAGGGCUGUCGCUGACCCUGUCGUGCACGCCCAGCGCUCUCAAACAUCCAUCUCACCCUUUGUGCAUCACCGCGUGGGUCCCCUUUGGGGGGCUUGCGUUUUCACAUAAACUGUGUAGAAUGUUUUUUUUGCGCUCACACGCAUCAAUACAACUUUCAACAACGGAUCUCUUGGCUCUCGCAUCGAUGAAGAACGCAGCGAAAUGCGAUACGUAAUGUGAAUUGCAGAAUUCAGUGAAUCAUCGAAUCUUUGAACGCACCUUGCGCCCCUUGGCAUUCCGAGGGGCACACCCGUUUGAGUGUCGUGAAACCCUCAAAUUUUUUCUUUUUGAAAAAGGAUUGGACUUGGAGGUUCAUGCUCGCUCUUUCGAAAGCGAGCUCCUCUCAAAUGAAUCAGUGGGGUUUGCUUUGCUGAUCCUUGACGUGAUAGAUGUUUCUACGUUUUGGAUUUGGCACUGUUUGCUUCUAACAGUCCCUUGGACGAUGAUGGUUCGCCGGACCCACCUUGACCUCAAUCGGGUGAGACUACCCGCUGAUAAGCAUAUCA
rnacentral:rRNA from 1 species